GAUGAAGAACGCAGCGAAAUGCGAUAAGUAGUGUGAAUAGCAGAAUUCAGUGAAUCAUCGAAUCUUUGAACGCACAUUGCGCCCCUUGGUAUUCCAUGGGGCAUGCCUGUUCGAGCGUCAUUUGUACCUUCAAGCUUUGCUUGGUGUUGGGUGUUUGUCUCGCCUUUGCGUGUAGACUCGCCUUAAAAUAAUUGGCAGCCGGCGUAUUGAUUUCGGAGCGCAGUACAUCUCGCGCUUUGCACUCAUAACGACAGCGUCCAAAAGUACAUUUUACACUCUUGACCUCGGAUCAGGUAGGGAUACCCGCUGAACUUAAGCAUAUCAAUAAGCGGAGGA
rnacentral:misc_RNA from 1 species